rnacentral:rRNA from 1 species
UAGGGAAUCUUCGGCAAUGGACGAAAGUCUGACCGAGCAACGCCGCGUGAGUGAAGAAGGUUUUCGGAUCGUAAAACUCUGUUGGUAGAGAAGAACGUUGGUGAGAGUGGGAAGCUCAUCAAGUGACGGUAACUACCCAGAAAGGGACGGCUAACUACGUGCCCG